rnacentral:rRNA from 1 species
AGCGAACGCUGGCGGCAGGCCUAACACAUGCAAGUCGAACGAACUCUUCGGAGUUAGUGGCGGACGGGUGAGUAACACGUGGGAACGUGCCUUUUGGUUCGGAAUAACUCAGGGAAACUUGUGCUAAUACCGAAUGUGCCCUUCGGGGGAAAGAUUUAUCGCCAUUAGAGCGGCCCGCGUCUGAUUAGCUAGUUGGUGAGAUAACGGCUCACCAAGGCGACGAUCAGUAGCUGGUCUGAGAGGAUGACCAGCCACACUGGGACUGAGACACGGCCCAGACUCCUACGGGAGGCAGCAGUGGGGAAUCUUGCGCAAUGGGCGAAAGCCUGACGCAGCCAUGCCGCGUGAAUGAUGAAGGUCUUAGGAUUGUAAAAUUCUUUCACCGGGGACGAUAAUGACGGUACCCGGAGAAGAAGCCCCGGCUAACUUCGUG